AGCGUACACGGUGGAUGCCCUGGCAGUCAGAGGCGAUGAAGGACGUGCUAAUCUGCGAUAAGCGUCGGUAAGGUGAUAUGAACCGUUAUAACCGGCGAUUUCCGAAUGGGGAAACCCAGUGUGUUUCGACACACUAUCAUUAACUGAAUCCAUAGGUUAAUGAGGCGAACCGGGGGAACUGAAACAUCUAAGUACCCCGAGGAAAAGAAAUCAACCGAGAUUCCCCCAGUAGCGGCGAGCGAACGGGGAGCAGCCCAGAGCCUGAAUCAGUGUGUGUGUUAGUGGAAGCGUCUGGAAAGGCGCGCGAUACAGGGUGACAGCCCCGUACACAAAAAUGCACAUGCUGUGAGCUCGAUGAGUAGGGCGGGACACGUGGUAUCCUGUCUGAAUAUGGGGGGACCAUCCUCCAAGGCUAAAUACUCCUGACUGACCGAUAGUGAACCAGUACCGUGAGGGAAAGGCGAAAAGAACCCCGGCGAGGGGAGUGAAAAAGAACCUGAAACCGUGUACGUACAAGCAGUGGGAGCACGCUUCGGCGUGUGACUGCGUACCUUUUGUAUAAUGGGUCAGCGACUUAUAUUCUGUAGCAAGGUUAACCGAAUAGGGGAGCCGAAGGGAAACCGAGUCUUAACUGGGCGUUAAGUUGCAGGGUAUAGACCCGAAACCCGGUGAUCUAGCCAUGGGCAGGUUGAAGGUUGGGUAACACUAACUGGAGGACCGAACCGACUAAUGUUGAAAAAUUAGCGGAUGACUUGUGGCUGGGGGUGAAAGGCCAAUCAAACCGGGAGAUAGCUGGUUCUCCCCGAAAGCUAUUUAGGUAGCGCCUCGUGAACUCAUCUCCGGGGGUAGAGCACUGUUUCGGCAAGGGGGUCAUCCCGACUUACCAACCCGAUGCAAACUGCGAAUACCGGAGAAUGUUAUCACGGGAGACACACGGCGGGUGCUAACGUCCGUCGUGAAGAGGGAAACAACCCAGACCGCCAGCUAAGGUCCCAAAGUCAUGGUUAAGUGGGAAACGAUGUGGGAAGGCCCAGACAGCCAGGAUGUUGGCUUAGAAGCAGCCAUCAUUUAAAGAAAGCGUAAUAGCUCACUGGUCGAGUCGGCCUGCGCGGAAGAUGUAACGGGGCUAAACCAUGCACCGAAGCUGCGGCAGCGACGCUUAUGCGUUGUUGGGUAGGGGAGCGUUCUGUAAGCCUGUGAAGGUGUACUGUGAGGUAUGCUGGAGGUAUCAGAAGUGCGAAUGCUGACAUAAGUAACGAUAAAGCGGGUGAAAAGCCCGCUCGCCGGAAGACCAAGGGUUCCUGUCCAACGUUAAUCGGGGCAGGGUGAGUCGACCCCUAAGGCGAGGCCGAAAGGCGUAGUCGAUGGGAAACAGGUUAAUAUUCCUGUACUUGGUGUUACUGCGAAGGGGGGACGGAGAAGGCUAUGUUGGCCGGGCGACGGUUGUCCCGGUUUAAGCGUGUAGGCUGGUUUUCCAGGCAAAUCCGGAAAAUCAAGGCUGAGGCGUGAUGACGAGGCACUACGGUGCUGAAGCAACAAAUGCCCUGCUUCCAGGAAAAGCCUCUAAGCAUCAGGUAACAUCAAAUCGUACCCCAAACCGACACAGGUGGUCAGGUAGAGAAUACCAAGGCGCUUGAGAGAACUCGGGUGAAGGAACUAGGCAAAAUGGUGCCGUAACUUCGGGAGAAGGCACGCUGAUAUGUAGGUGAAGCGACUUGCUCGUGGAGCUGAAAUCAGUCGAAGAUACCAGCUGGCUGCAACUGUUUAUUAAAAACACAGCACUGUGCAAACACGAAAGUGGACGUAUACGGUGUGACGCCUGCCCGGUGCCGGAAGGUUAAUUGAUGGGGUCAGCGCAAGCGAAGCUCUUGAUCGAAGCCCCGGUAAACGGCGGCCGUAACUAUAACGGUCCUAAGGUAGCGAAAUUCCUUGUCGGGUAAGUUCCGACCUGCACGAAUGGCGUAAUGAUGGCCAGGCUGUCUCCACCCGAGACUCAGUGAAAUUGAACUCGCUGUGAAGAUGCAGUGUACCCGCGGCAAGACGGAAAGACCCCGUGAACCUUUACUAUAGCUUGACACUGAACAUUGAGCCUUGAUGUGUAGGAUAGGUGGGAGGCUUUGAAGUGUGGACGCCAGUCUGCAUGGAGCCGACCUUGAAAUACCACCCUUUAAUGUUUGAUGUUCUAACGUUGACCCGUAAUCCGGGUUGCGGACAGUGUCUGGUGGGUAGUUUGACUGGGGCGGUCUCCUCCUAAAGAGUAACGGAGGAGCACGAAGGUUGGCUAAUCCUGGUCGGACAUCAGGAGGUUAGUGCAAUGGCAUAAGCCAGCUUGACUGCGAGCGUGACGGCGCGAGCAGGUGCGAAAGCAGGUCAUAGUGAUCCGGUGGUUCUGAAUGGAAGGGCCAUCGCUCAACGGAUAAAAGGUACUCCGGGGAUAACAGGCUGAUACCGCCCAAGAGUUCAUAUCGACGGCGGUGUUUGGCACCUCGAUGUCGGCUCAUCACAUCCUGGGGCUGAAGUAGGUCCCAAGGGUAUGGCUGUUCGCCAUUUAAAGUGGUACGCGAGCUGGGUUUAGAACGUCGUGAGACAGUUCGGUCCCUAUCUGCCGUGGGCGCUGGAGAACUGAGGGGGGCUGCUCCUAGUACGAGAGGACCGGAGUGGACGCAUCACUGGUGUUCGGGUUGUCAUGCCAAUGGCACUGCCCGGUAGCUAAAUGCGGAAGAGAUAAGUGCUGAAAGCAUCUAAGCACGAAACUUGCCCCGAGAUGAGUUCUCCCUGACUCCUUGA
rnacentral:rRNA from 1 species